AUACUUACCUGGCGUAGAGGUUACCGUGAUCAUGAAGGCGGUUCCUCCAGGGCGAGGCUCUUCCAUUGCACUACGGUUGAGCUGACCCUUGCGAAUAUCCCUAAUGUGGAUAUCUCGGACGUAUAAUUUUUGGUAGUCGGGACUGCGUUCGCGCUAUCCCGG
rnacentral:snRNA from 2 species